rnacentral:lncRNA from 1 species
CGUUUUCUCUUAUUCGUCCGGGUUCAGGCUGGAAAGCAUGCUGACACCGCUUCUACCAUGCCAUCGCCCCCAUCACCCUGCUGUGGUGCCAGGUGAGGUGUUGGUCAACAGGACAGAGCCAGAUGUUGUAAAGGGGGAAAAAGCAGCAGAGGAGGCGAAAUUGGCAAGAGAACAAAGAGGGAGGAUUCAGUGGCUGCUUCAGAGCUGGAAUCACACUGCCAUCAGAUGGAUCACAGCCAGAACUGCAGCAGCACUUCUGACUUCAACGCAGUGGCAGUUCUGGCCAAAAGCGUUUUCUAAUGUCAUGCUUGCUUUAUACCUGUUUUCCUAAUUUACAUGUCUCGCAUGUAUUGUAGAAACGUGCAGCUCUGAUAUUUAUGACAUUUAGUCUGACCACUGGUGUGUUUUCAGUGAACGUUGAGUACCACACACCACACAAUACAAUCAAAUAAGAAGAUGAAAAAAUGCAGUGCAAUCUGUUUAGAUGAACAGGGGCAGUUAAAUAGGAAAGCACCGCCAAAACAUGUCAUGUAGUCCUGGCCCCUAUUUCUUUUGUGACUUCAUUUUGAUCUGGUGAUAAUCUAAUGUGCAUGUGGGAUUUGGUUGCAAAUGAAGACGCUUAGGAAGAGGACGUCUGCUUUUCCAGCCCAUAUGGAAUUACAAAUUCCAUAUUACAAAUUCAAAUGUGCACAUACAAGAAGGAAAAAAGCACCAAAAUCAUUUUUAAUGAAAGUGUUUUUACCACAGUCUUAUAUCAGAUGCAUUCAAACGUCCACUGGCAUACAAAUGAAAACAAUGCAGCACCAGAAACAUAUGGGACAGCACACACACGUCUGGUUAAAUGAGGCAUGUGAUACACUGUAGUGAAAUGUGCAUGACAGUAAGACAGAGAGAAUAAUUGUGACUGUGGGAAAGAGCAAAUGAUGUGCUGCAGGGAAGUAAACAGUGCCAGUUCCUGUGAUAGACUGCUCAACACUUUCCGUCUCAUUGACUUUGAAUAAUUUUUCACAUCAAAUGAAACUUAAUUACAUCACAACAACUCAUGGUGGAUAGUUUCUUUUCUCUUUCAAUUUGUGUGUCUUGCUGUGUGCAUGUAAAGAAAGAUGAGCAUUUCUGUUGGUCAGGUCUGUCAAACAAGAGGCUUAACUAUUUAGAGCUCAUUGCGAUUCAGAAAAUAGUCAUUUUCCCACAAGGCAAAACGGCACAUAUCUGUUGCAAGUUUUAUGCAAAAAAAGGAUCAGCUCAGCUUCAAUAAUAUCAUAAAUCUGUGGCUAUGCAGGUCACAUUCGUAUUUUACCAUGAUAACUUUACUCACAAUCACAAACUUUUAC